CUAAUGAUUUGGAUCUGAACGCUGCUCAGGAUGUCCACUUUUUUGUCUCGGGCUCGUAAUCCUGUCAAUGUCUAGCUUGUUUUGUUUGUACUGAGAUAAUUGUUUAUGUUUUUUAUUUAUUUUGUAUCGUCUAUUUUAUCUAGGAUGUUGUCCACUAAGCUAAUGAUGGGGAUCAUAGCACUACCCUGCACACAAACAUGGAAUGGAUCUGCCUAGUCCAUUAUCAGAAGAGUGACCAAGCCUGUUCGUCCCAUCAGAGAAGUUUCUCAAGAAGUUUUACAAGGGACUUGUACGAAUGGGCAGAAGAAAUUUUCUUAACUGACCACCUCAUCAUUGCCUGCUUUUGGAGACUGAACACUUUAUUGAAAAUUGAUGGGGUGUAGCAAUCUGUGGGUGUCCUCUUUUGACCUGAGAAGAGUCAGAGAACUCCCUGGGCCUCAUGAGAUGAUGACACCCUGCAGUAGGAGCAGUUCCUACCGGUAUCUCUUAAAAGCAGACAGGUUUUCUUAAGCACCUGAUCCAUUUCUGAAGACAAAUUUUUGUAUGGAGCUGGUAAAAUUUCUUAAUUUUUUUAGGUUGUUUGAGCUAUAAGCUCAAGUGGGCUUUUCUGAUCACCCAUUGUCUGUUGUACAUCUGUCUGUCCAUCUGUCAUUAAACUUGUUUUCAACUUCUCUACAAUCACAUAGCCCAAUUUCAACCAAACUUAGUAUCGUUAAAGGAUUGAAAAUCGAUUAAAUGAAGGGUCUUCAAAGAUUAGAUAAUCAACAAAUGAAAAUAGAUAGCAUUGGGUCAUUUAAGAAUCGUCUCCAUAACUACUGAGCUAAAAAUACUAAACCUCUAUAAGUCAUGUGAAACCUUGCUGAUAUAUUGUAAAUUGUUUGAAGUCUGGCUUCAGGGGAUAGGAUUAGGGUCAUCGGUGCCUGGGAAGGACAAACACAACAGGCCAAUGACCCCAUUUAUGGUAAAACAGUGGGGAUAUUCUGAAAUUUAAUUGGCUGAAAUAAUGUACAUUGGGACCUUUCUUUUUUUUUUUACCGAAAUUUGUCCAUUGUUGUCGUAGAGGUCAUCAUAAACUUUUCACAUGUUCAUCUUCUUCACCAGAACCUGUGGGCCAAUUUCAACCAAGCUUGACACAACACAUCCAUUCCUUGGAUAAAGGGAAUUCAAGGUAGUAGUUACUUGAGAUGUCCGGCUGAUUGAUGAGGAUACUUUCCCUGAGACUCUAACAUUUUGUAGGACUUCGAUAGCUCAAUUGCUGUAGAAAAUGUCAGGACGGUGGAGAUUUAGAUAAGUGGUGUGAUGUAAUUGAUGGUCAACAGAAGACUGUGACCUUGAAUCUGAAGAUCUGUGAUGAAGACUGGACUUUUGGGGUCACUCUCUGUUACAGUACUACAAAUCUAACAGUGAACAACUCAGCCACAAAGAGGUUGUCUCUGAUGUCCACACAUAAACCUAAUGGAGUGUCUAAAUCACAGUGAAUGUAACGGAGGAACUGUCCGUCCUGAUCUAGGAUGUGGAUACGGUCAUUGUCACUGUCUGCUGUCAGGAUGUGACUCUGGCUGUCUGUAGUGAUGCCGCGUGGAUAAAAUGAUUGGUUGGUAUUAGAGGGAUGACCAGUGUAUCUAAAUCGGAGUUUUCCUGACUGAUUGACCACCACUACUGCACUAUAGUCAUUGUCAGCCACACAGAUAUCCAGGUUCUUGUUCUCACUGAUGUAUUUAUAGUUAUAAAAACCACCAGAUGAGUAGAGAGGACGACCCUGAUCAUCAAACUGAAUGCUUUGUUUCUCUGUGGAGCCGGAGUAACGCACGACUUUGGAUUGUUUCCAAUCAUCACUGUCCAUGGUAACCAGGAGACCGUUACCCGCGGUACAGCAGACAUUGACAGGUCUCCACCCCUGUAGUGUGAUCACGAAUGAGUUGAAUGGAAUAAUGAACCUCCAGAUGUCUAUGUACACGUGUAUGAAUAAACUCUGUUGUACUCGCGCAUGCGAACUUAUCCAAUUUUAU